UGCCAGCCGCCGCGGUAAGACGAAGGUGGCAACCGUUGUUCGGAAUUACUGGGCAUAAAGCGCGCGUAGGCGGCGACAUCAGUCAGGUGUGAAAUCCCUCGGCCCAACCGAGGAACUGCGCUUGAUACUGUGUCGCUUGAGGAUGGGAGGGGAGCGUGGAAUUCCUGGUGGAGCGGUGAAAUGCGUUGAUAUCAGGAGGAACACCGGCGGCGAAGGCGGCUACCUGGAUCAAUACUGACGCUGAGGUGCGAAAGCGUGGGGAGCAAACAGGAUUAGAUA
rnacentral:rRNA from 1 species